ensembl:lncRNA
AUGGGGAUACAUUGUGUCUCCCUUCCAGCCAUGACUCUGAGCAUGUCUCCGGCUGCGGUUUGCCAGUGCUUUACUUUGGUGUCCCUUUGCACGUCCAUCGCUGACCCCAACUGGAUCCAGGUCAGGAACAGUACUGACCCCGGAGGAAAACAAAUAAUCUAUGGAGUGGCCUUCACACUGCACGCUGCCCAGAACAUCACUGACACAGGUCCUCUGGGUGGUGUUAACGGCUGGGGGAUGUGGCUGCUCUAUGCCCUGGCGGCUCUGUGCUACACUGCUGUCCUGCUCUCCAGCUCCUCCUUCUUAUUGGACUUCUUGGGGACUGGGAUGUCCCACCCUCGACUGGUGGUGUCACUCCACAUCUCCACUGUUGUUUUCCUAAUGUCCGUGCUGGGAGUGUGUGGGGCAUGCCUGUACGUCAUCAGCGGCAACCUUCAGGAGGGCAAAUUUGGGCUACUGUGGGACUGGGUAGGGGGCUGGACCUGGCCCAGGUCUGGGUCUUGGUCUCCUAGGCCUGGCACCAGAAGCCAAGGAGUGGCAGCGGGGAUGCAGGCUUACCCAGGGGAGAGCUUCUACAUUGCCAUUCUGGGCCUACUUUUUUCCUGCCUGGCUUCCGUGAUCAGCCUGAGUUGCCCGGGGGACCCCACCUCUACCCAGAGUGACUACACAGCCGUGGUGGAAGGGGACGACAGUGACACAGAGCCCCUCACCCCCAGGGAGCAGGGAGUGGGGCAGUCUGACGGAGACAACAGGGGGGAGGAGUGGGCAGGAGAGGUGGUCCCUGAACUGAAUCAGGUGGAGGUGGAUGGAGGUGGAGACUGCUAAAGGGGGUUCUGUUUAUAUGUGUAGCCCAAAAGGUGAACUGUGGUUUGGUUUCUACUAGAAUGCGAACCAGGAUCACACAUGGCCUGUAACAGACUUUAUUAGACAGCAGUGCUGGCCCCUUCCCUGGUCAUGUUUUGGUUCCUUUUAAUGCUUCACUUGACCAAGAUAGUAGAAUCCUGUCAGGAGCCAAAAAAGAGAUCCGAUACGUUUUCUAAUGUUCUCUUAAUGUUUGUCUGCCUAAACUUCCCUCUCGGGUCAGUGUGUAUACAGUUGCACAACAUACAUUUUAAAAAGAAUAACAUCUUUCCCUUGUGGGAGUUUAGGCCCAGAGUCUCCAACUUCACUUGACCAAGGUCAAUAGUUAUUUUGCUUGCUGUGAUGGUUGAAAAAGUGUGCCACAUGUUUAAGCUAUUUCUGUCUGUGUGACCAGGGCAAGUGCGUUAUACAAAUUAUAUGCUCUUUUCAAUAUAGUUGAACACGUGGCGUCACUUGCAUGAAGGGAUAGUAAACUCAUCAAUGGGAACAAGCGUUGACCCUGUUCCCAUUACUGCAAAAUAACCACUGGGGUGUGUUCAGGUUCAGCGAAUGGUUUCAUCAGUUCAAAACCAGAAAAUAUGUUCAGUUGAGCAUAAGAUGAACUAUAGCCCAUGUUUGUACAAUCACCUAUUCUCCUCUUCUAGUUAUAAAAAUCCCUACAGGAAGGUUUUUUAAAAAUGAUUUUUGCAGGUUGUUUUCUAACCUAUGCAUUAUCUUAACUUCUUAAACCCUUUGCACAGUCUUUCAUAGUGACACUUGAAGUUUCCCAAAUGGAGGACAGAAAUCCAAUAGAUUAUUCAUAGAUUUACCUGAAGUGUACUGAAACUAGAGUUUCCUUUGAGAAAUUAAAUUUAAAAAGCCCGUUUGGCUAUUCUUGCCACUAGCUUUUAUCACUUUUAAUUGAUACACUAUUUAUUAAUGCAUGGAUGUUUACUACUAUAGGAAGAAUUGAGGGGGAUAUGACAGCUUGCCGUUCCACAACAGGUAGUGUAAAUACAUGGCUCUUGCCUUUAUAUGACUUGAUAUACUAAUGAUAUUAAAAUAUGAUGUAUUGAGUAUUUUAUGUAUUCGAAUGUUUCUGGUUUCAUAAAAUGUUGACACUGCUAUUGGUUACUAGAUAAUACAUAUCACUGUGAAAAUAUAUUCCAGUUUGGCAUCUUUAGAUGGUUACAUUACAGCACAAACCACUCUAUAAAGCAGGGUUAUCCUGCUUAAAGGCAACCAAUAAAACAUGCUCCUUGAUGGUGUUUGGUUGCAGAUGAUGUUAGGACCAUGGAUAUUGGCUUAAUUAAUUAAGAUAGCUAAGAGCCUGCCUAGAAUCAGGUUUUCCUUACCUACUUGUUUCCUGGACACAGAUUAAGCCUAAUCCUGGAUUGGGAAACAUGUUCAAUCGAAAAGAAAAAAAAAGAGAAUCUCAAGACCAGGCUUAAUCUGUGUCCGGGAAACUAUCCCUCAAUCUCUUCCUCAGGUACAUAGGAAGACAUUCCUUCUCUUAUUCCAGGGUCACAGUCCCAUCUCUAUGAAUCAGACUGUUCAUUGUGAUUGUUUGUGAUGUUAUUUAUUCAUUAAACAGUUUUUGUGUUUAAGUGAAAUGUGUGAAUGCAUUUUCUUCCUGUUCCAGAACAGAAGUG